ACCACUCCAGUCACUUUCCAGGCAAGACAGGGCUACCUUCAGCAUCUCUAGUGAAAGUGGUGAAUUAGCACUUCAAGGGUGAGAUGGCAUGGACAGAAGCUUCUGGGACUGAGUUCACCAUUGGAGGCUUCUUUCCAGCUUCCUGAAGGUCUCUGGAGGUCUCUUUUUACCUGGGAGGAUGAUCCCUGGCGGCUCCCUGCUGACAUUCUUCAAAACUAGGCUAUUUCCCCAGUGUCCUGCAGAUAGAACAGAAGAGGAAAUGAUGAAACUGUUUGUAGUGGCCUGGGCUGAAGUGUCUGCAUCUCACUCCAGGGCCUCCUGAAGAGCGCUGAUCCUGCAUUGUACACGUGGUUCUUCUCCUGUGCCUCCCCACUUGUCAGAUAAUUUCUUGAGGACAUGGAUGACUCUCUGGCACCGACAGUUCCAGGAUGCCAGUGUCUCUACAUCGUGACAACUUUGAAUGUGACCAUUAUAUCACCUACUAAGUCGGGCUGAGCUAGAAAUUAUGGCUAAAGUUCCAGAAAGUUCCAGAAAGCACAUUUGGCCUUACAAUAGAUAAUUAUGAACCGCAAAAGCUGCGCAUUUACUAAAUGAUAUGCUCUGCCAAGGAGCAAGUUCCCCAUCACACAGAGCAGCAGAAGCCACUAUCAGGAAUGCUGCAGUGGAUUUCUGAGUUGAGUAUGGGGUUAAAACACAAGUCCCUAGGUUUAGUCCAAUCUUAAAAAUUCUAUGAUUUUAUCUUUUAAAAAUAAUGUUUGCAUAGUAUUUUAAAGUUUUUAAUGAACUUUACAUACAUGAUCUCAUUGAUUCUUUUUUUAAAAAAUGGAGGUCACUUUUUCCUGGCUUAAACAAAUGAAAAUAAAUAUAAACAAUAUAGACUUCUGAAGAAGGAUGGCAGAAUAGAGGCAAAAUAGAGACUAUCCUUCUCCAACAUCUAAAAUAUGAAUAAAAAUAAUAAAAAUCAACAACAACAACAACAAAAACAGACACAAAAAAACAGCAACAGCAAGAACACAAGGAAAUGGCAGCAACCUAAUGUCAUAGACUUCAAAAAGGGGAAGACAAAGAAAGGAAAGAGAUUUUAGAAAAGUAGUUUCUAACUCUGUGCUCACUUUGGAAGCCUUAAAUUACCAAAAUAUUGAAAAAUCGAAUCAAAAGCUAUAAAUCAGAAAAAAAAACCAAUUAGCAGAGCAUAUUGUUUUCCCUAAAUGCUUUAGGUUAGAGAACAGGUUAAUAAGAAUAUGAAUUCAACAUGGUGGGUCCCAAAGAGGAAAUGAAACAAGAGAAUGACCUGGAAAAGUGAUUUUCUGCUGUCCUAUAGAAACAAAUUAAAGACCAAAACAUUAUUUUUAUUUUUUUAAAAUUAUACUUUAAUUCUAGGGUGCAUGUGCACAACAUGCAGGUUUGAUACAUAGGUAUACAUGUGCCAUGUUGGUUUGCUGCACCCAUCAACUCAUCAUUUACAUUAGGUAUUUCUCCUAAUGCUAUCCCUCCCCCAGCCCCCUACCCUCUGACAGGCCCGGGUGUGUGAUGUUCCCCCCUGUGUCCAAGUGCUUUCAUUCAAAAUGACAUUAUUAUAGAAUGGAUAAAUAGAUAAAAAAUCUUCAAAAAAAAAAAAAAACUAAAUAGACACAGCUCAAAAUAAGCUUACAGACAGAAAAAAUGCUUAAGAUAAAGGUAGUGAUUGCAAGUGAAAAGCACAUAGCAAUUUGAGCCUAGUUGUUAAGCCUGGUUGUAAAGAAUCUCCAAAUAGGACAGAUAAAAUAUUCAAAGCUAUAAAACAAAAAAAUUUGCUCUGACAAAUGCAGAAACGAAUCUGCAGAUUGAAAGAGCACACCAUGACCCAAGAAAAACAAAUACUAAAUGAUCCGCACUGAGACAUAUCCCCAUUAACUUAUCAAACUUCAAGGACUUUUUUAAAAAAAGUAUUUUGGCAUAGGACAUAAAAAGUAAAGGAAGCCAGUUAGGGUUGCCUUUGACACUAAUAAUCAAUAUUGCAUGCCAAGAUAUAAUAAAGCACCACCUAGGAUUUCCAAGGGAAAGUGUGACUCAAAAAUAUUUCACCCAUCCAGAAUGAGUUUAAGUAGAAAAGUCACAGAUAAAUAUUCUGGCCCACAGCAGCACUCAGGGAACACACACUCAUGAGUCCUGCUUGAGAGGAAUUGUUCAGUGAUGAAACAGUCGAUUUAGAGAUAAAUAGAAAUAAAAUAUUUGGAAAUAUAGAGUCUGGGAUAAAAAAGACUUAUUAGGAACACAUAAUUCAUUUGAACAUGGAACUGAUGGUAUUAAACAAUUAUGAGAUUAAUGUUUCCACAACAGAAUGUGAAUAUUAUAAACAAUGAUAACGUAAAAGUAAUAUUAGAGCCAAAAUUGGGAAGUGAGGGGUGGGGAGAUGGGAGGAAGUACAAGUCUAAAGAUUUACUCAUCUUUCCGAUGUGUGAGUCAUUCGAUAUUGUCUAAAACUGAAACAUGUUGCUAAAAAAAAAGACUCCAACCUUUUAACAUUUUUCAUAGUAUCUUUUCUUAACCUUAUUUCCCCAAGAAGGAAUUUUUAGCAAAUAGUAUCUCCUGUGGUAAAGGAUAUUUAACGAAAG